GUACACUCCUACGGGAGGCAGCAGUGGGGAAUUUUGGACAAUGGGCGCAAGCCUGAUCCAGCCAUGCCGCGUGCGGGAAGAAGGCCUUCGGGUUGUAAACCGCUUUUGUCAGGGAAGAAAAGGUUCUGGCUAAUACCUGGGACUCAUGACGGUACCUGAAGAAUAAGCACCGGCUAACUACGUGCCAGCAGCCGCGGUAAUACGUAGGGUGCAAGCGUUAAUCGGAAUUACUGGGCGUAAAGCGUGCGCAGGCGGUUAUGCAAGACAGAGGUGAAAUCCCCGGGCUCAACCUGGGAACUGCCUUUGUGACUGCAUGGCUAGAGUACGGUAGAGGGGGAUGGAAUUCCGCGUGUAGCAGUGAAAUGCGUAGAUAUGCGGAGGAACACCGAUGGCGAAGGCAAUCCCCUGGACCUGUACUGACGCUCAUGCACGAAAGCGUGGGGAGCAAACAGGAUUAGAAACCCCUGUAGUCCCA
rnacentral:rRNA from 1 species